rnacentral:misc_RNA from 1 species
CCUGCUGAAUGAGUUCCCUGCUCCAAAGCUUUGAUGGAUCCAGUGUCAGCGAAAUACUGACUUCACUAGUGGCUACAACAUCCACCGAUAUGCCCAAAUCUUCAAAGGUUGAAAAUACCUUUGCAAGAAAGCCAUAUUGACCAAGCAUUCGUGUGCUAACAAUAUCCAACAUGGUCACAUUCCGUUUCAAAACAAUGCUGGUUAACACUGCCUUACUCAUAUCUCGUGUCCUGGUGAUGAGAGUUCCAGGAGCACAUGGGUUAUAAGAAUUCUUAACCCUAACAGGAAUAUCACCCUCUCUAGCAGGCCUCAUGGACUGUGGAUGAAGGACCUGUGCACCAAAGUAUGCAAGUUCAGCUGCCUCAUCAAAAGUUAGAUAUGGCACAGUCUCAGCACGUGGAUAUAUGUUGGGAUCACAUGUCAAAACACCGUCAACAUCCUUCCAGACCUGAAUUUCACGUAAUCCCAAUGCUUUACCGAUUGUUGUAGCAGUCAAGUCACUACCACCCCUACCUAGUGUAGUCACAGCACAAGUUCUCCAACCCUUCCCAAGAAACCCAGUGACAAUAGGGAUUGCAGGAUUACUCAUCCAAUCACCAGUUAAUCUCUUUGCAACAGCAGGAUAAGUUGCUUCCAAUAUAUCCGCAUUAGUAAAAUCAUCAGUAGUUAUAAUACCCAUCUCAAAUGCAUCAUAUUGGCGGGCUUUGACACCAAGUUUAUUCAGAUAUGCGGAAAAUAUUCUCGUGGACAUACACUCUCCAAAGGACACCAAGUAGUCCUUUGCUCGUGGAGUCAACUCUUUCAUCAAAGCAAUUCCAUUCAAAAGUUGUUCCAGUUCGAGUAGAUGCUUUGAAAUGGUAGAACUCUCUACUCCAAGUUCGUCUAUUGUCCUAAGAUGGAGCUCCUUUAUAAAAGCCAACUCUUGCAGAUCAGAAACAUUGGAAACACCACAACUCUGAGCCUUUUCACCAGCCAGCAAAAGGUUGUUUGUUGUCUUUCCCAUUGCUGAGAGAACAAUAACAGGUCUCUCUUCUGGAAAGCUAAGAAUAAGAUCAGCUACUUCUCUCAUUCUUUCGGCUGAGGCUACUGAUGAACCACCAAACUUCAUAACACAUGUCAAUUCAUCAGGAGCCUCACCAAAAGAUUCAUUCUUGGUCUCUUUACGAUUAACAUCAGUUGCUUGUGCUUUACAUACCAAUCUCUGCACUCUUUCACAACAAGAAACCUUCACAGAUUUACUUGGCGCAGAAACAAAGGGGACAGUAGCCACAAAAUCAAGUUGUGGGAAGUGCACGCUUCUUUUGAAUAUAGAAGGGCAGGGAGUUUUAACCCCAGAAAAAUGUGACAAUGUUGCCAUAAUAAAUCAGCUAAGGAACCUCCAAAAAAGGAUAUAAAUGACAAUAAAGUUCUUUCGACGAAUGAAGUGACUCGGGUUUUGCAAAAAGCAGAGAGAGCCAAUUAACUUAGCUAAUUAGCUCCCCCUGCUGAAAAUAUACUCCAAUAAUCAAGCAAUCCUGAUUCAAAAACAGAUUUUUCAGGUUCAAAACUGCCGUCUGAAACCAAACUUUCGUGGGAAAUUUACACUAUUUCUUGAAAUUGUGUUAAUGGUGUCGUAAACCCAAUUGGGGGAAGAGAAAAGGGUCGUUAAAUCACAAAUUCUUAAAGCAGCUCAGAGAGGAGAAGCUCGGCAGGGACGUGGCUACAGGUUUGGCGGCUUAGGUUUUU